UUCUGUCUGCAAAAGUUCUCUAGUGACUGAAAAAAGAACAUGUGACCGUCACCUGACCCUCCCAGCGACCAUCUUUAAAGCUUUACUAUAUGAGAUCACACUGCAGAAAGCUUGUCUAGUCAAAAAAAAAAUGUCACAAAACAGCAGUGACCACAGUACCCCUCCAUUGGAGAUUGUGGAGCAAUCAUCAUCUAGCGGGUCAGAGGAUGAAACGGAGAGGACACACU